rnacentral:rRNA from 1 species
UACGGAGGGUGCAAGCGUUAUCCGGAUUCACUGGGUUUAAAGGGUGCGUAGGUGGGUUGGUAAGUUCCGUGGUGAAAUCUCCGAGCUUAACUCGGAAACUGCCGUGGAUACUAUCAAUCUUGAAUACUGUGGAGGUAAGCGGAAUAUGUCAUGUAGCGGUGAAAAUGCUUAGAUAUGACAUAGAACACCGAUAGCGGAGGCAGCUUGCUACACAGUCAUUGGACACUGAGGCACGAAAGCGUGGGGAUCAAACAGG